CAGCAGCCACGGUAAUACGUAGGUGGCAAUCGUUGUCCGGAAUUAUUGGGCGUAAAGGGCUCGCAGGCGGUUUCUUAAGUCUGAUGUGAAAGCCCCCGGCUCAACCGGGGAGGGUCAUUGGAAACUGGGAAACUUGAGUGCAGAAGAGGAGAGUGGAAUUCCACGUGUAGCGGUGAAAUGCGUAGGGAUGUGGAGGAACACCAGUGGCGAAGGCGACUCUCUGGUCUGUAACUGUCGCUGAGGAGCGAAAGCGUGGGGAGCGAACAGGAUUAGAUACCCGAGUAGUCCCUGUCUCUUAUAC
rnacentral:rRNA from 1 species